UAUCUAGUUGUCGGAAAUUUCCAUCUCCCA
rnacentral:piRNA from 1 species